rnacentral:rRNA from 1 species
CACGUAGGGUGCGAGCGUUGUCCGGAAUUAUUGGGCGUAAAGAGCUCGUAGGCGGUCUGUCGCGUCGGUCGUGAAAACCUGCAGCUUAACUGUGGGCUUGCGGUCGAUACGGGCAUGACUGGAGUUCGGCAGGGGAGACUGGAAUUCCUGGUGUAGCGGUGAAAUGCGCAGAUAUCGGGAGGAACACCCGUAGCGAAGGCGGCACUCUGGGCCGGAACUGACGCUGAGGAGCGAAAGCGUGGGGAGCAAACAGG